rnacentral:rRNA from 1 species
UGCCAGCAGCCGCGGUAAUACGGAGGGGGCUAGCGUUGUUCGGAAUUACUGGGCGUAAAGCGCACGUAGGCGGAUUAGUAAGUUGGGGGUGAGAGCCCGAGGCUCAACCUCGGAAUUGCCCUCAAAACUGCCAGUCUUGAGUUCGGGAGAGGGAAGUGGAAUUCCUGGUGUAGCGGUGAAAUGCGUAGAUAUCAGGAGGAACACCAGUGGCGAAGGCGGCUUUCUGGACCAAUACUGACGCUGAGAUGCGAAAGCGUGGGGAGCGAACAGGAUUAGAUA